rnacentral:rRNA from 1 species
GACGAACGCUGGCGGUGUGCUUCACACAUGCAAGUCGAACGAGUGACUGCUUUGUAGCAAUACAAAGUAGAAGCUAGUGGCGGACGGGUGAGUAACGCGUAGGAAUCUGCCUUUGAGUGGGGGAUAGCAGACCGAAAGGUCUAUUAAUACCGCAUACGUAUAUACUUCGACAGUUGUAUAUAUAAAAAGAGCAAUCUGCUCAUAGAUGAGCCUGCGUCCGAUUAGCUAGUUGGUAGUGUAAUAGACUACCAAGGCGACGAUCGGUAGGUGGUCUGAGAGGAUGAUCACCCACAAUGGAACUAAGACACGGUCCAUACUCCUACGGAGGCAGCAGUGGGGAAUUUUGUGCAAUGGGGAAACCCUGACACAGCGACACCGCGUGAGCGAAGAAGCCCUUC